GAUGAACGCUGACAGAAUGCUUAACACAUGCAAGUCUUUGGUGAAGCUGUGCUUGCACAGCCUAGCCAAGGCGGACGGGUGAGUAACGCGUAAGGAACUUGCCCUGCAGUCAGGGAUAACAGACGGAAACGACUGAUAAGACCUGGUAAAGUCAGGCGGACUCAUGUCCAGCCUGAUGAAAAGAGAUGCUGCAGGAGAGCCUUGCGUCCUAUUAGCUUGUUGGUGGGGUAACGGCCCACCAAGGCAAUGAUAGGUAGCCGGCCUGAGAGGGCGGACGGCCACAAGGGGACUGAGAUACGGCCCUUACUCCUACGGGAGGCAGCAGUGGGGAAUAUUGGACAAUGGGGGCAACCCUGAUCCAGCAAUUCUGUGUGCACGAUGAAGGUUUUCGGAUUGUAAAGUGCUUUCAGCAGGGAAGAAAAAAAUGACGGUACCUGCAGAAGAAGCGACGGCUAAAUACGUG
rnacentral:rRNA from 1 species